CAUUAAAUAAUAACUCCCUCUUUCCCUUUCUCCUCCAGCCCCUGACAUCCACCAUUCUACUUUCUGCCUCUAUGAUUUAGACUACAGGUAUCUCGCAUAAGUGAAAUCAUACAAUGUUUGCCUUUUGGGGCUGGUUUAUUUCACUCAGCAUGAUGCUUUCAUGGUUCAUCCAGGUUGUACUAUUGUGCAUUAAUGCUGGUGUGAACAGGAGUGUACAAUGGAAAGAACCUGCUUCCAAUUAUGUCAAAUAGAUACCCUGAAGUGGAAUUGCUGGUUUGCAUGGUGAAGACCUCCCUCCUGUGACCUCAGCCCUCCUCCUUCCCUCUGCUUCUCCACACCGCCUGCCUUCGCACACAGGAAUCCAGAUUUUUCUGUCUUGACUUCUCUGACAGAAGAUUGCAGUGUCUCCUGGCACACCAGGGGGAAUGUGGCAGAACAGGAGGGGUGAACUUCAGUACUAUAACCAGGCUGGUACUCUAACACCAGCUUUGCACCUUGGUGGCAGCAUGAGCACUUUAGUUAGAGUCCCAAGUUAGACUCUAGUUAGAUGUCUCAGCCAUCCCCCCCCCCCGCCGUCACAUGGUGGCUGUCUUUAUUGAGGGGUGAAGGGAAAUUCUCCUAAGAAAUAUAAAGCUCUUCUGGGGUCACCUUCUAAAAACCAUCCAGAAGUGGGUGAGCCUAUCCUUGGGACUUCUUUCUUCACUCAGUUGGCUCCUGCUCCUUCAAGAACUUUUGGGGACAGGAUGAAAGAACUCAAGGCUCCGGGCUUACCCACCACAACUUUGUAACCUCGCUUUUGCCAUAAUGGUCUCCUUAUGCCUCCACUAUGAAAUGACCAGGACUCUUAUGUUUUUUUCUCCUCUCAUUCCUCCUUUUUUCUCUUCAGUAUAAUCUCUCUUUAUUGAGAACUUACAGUAUGCUAGGAACUAUGCUAUAUACCCAUACUACAUCUCAUUUAAUUCUUACAUAUCCCUGUGAAAGAGGUAGUCAUAUGAAUACCAUUUUAUAUGUGAGAAAACCAAGGCAUAGAAUAGUUAAAUAAAUUGUCCAGGAUCUUCUAGUUAAAAACUGGCAGAGUCAAGAUUCAGUCUCAGGUCUUUUUGAUGCCCAAACAUAUAUACUUUACCUUUAAAAGUGUGGCUCAUGGAUGCCUGGAGUUUCCUAGGUCCUUUACAGGGUUCUGUGAGAUCAAAACCAUUUUCAUGAUGCUAUUUGCCUUUUUCACUGUGUUGACAUUUACACUGAAGGCACAGCAUCAACGAUGGGUAAAACUGUAGGCUGCUUAGCCCAAAUCAAGGCCGUAGCACCAAACUGUAAUACUAAACAUUAUAUUUUUUACUAGAACGCACUUGCAGAAUAAAAAAAAAUCACUUUUACUCAAGAAUGUCCUGAUGUGGCAGGAAAUAUUAAGUUUCUUAAAUGUUGACCUUUGAGUACAUGCCUAUUUAAUAUUCUGUGUAAUAAAAUGGGAAGUAUGCAAAACCAAUUUGUGCUCAAUAUGUUCGUCUUGAGGAAAAGUACAUGUGCAUUUGAGUUGCAAGCUGAACUAGCCACUUUCUUAAUAAAAUACCCGUUUACUUGAAAGAAUGAGUGACAAUUUAUGACUAACCAGACUUCAGUAUUUGGAAAAUAUUUUCUUACAGAUGAACAAAGUGAGACUGUCAUUUCAAGGAAAAUGACUGACAGUAUUUGUUGCCAUAGAUAAGACUGAAGUUUUUAAGCAUAUUAGAAUUUGUGAAAAUUUGUAUUCAUAUUGUAUCAGUCACGGUCUAGUCAGGAGAGAAAAACCACCUUGCAUUUAAAUAGGGAAAGUUUAACAUAAAGAAUGAACUAUUUGUAAGAACAAAAGAGAAUUCUAAAGAAUACCCUAAGACUAAGGGAGAGUUCCAAUAAAGGAAGAAAUUUGGGUAAGGGCUGGGAAUUAGACUUCAUUGGAGUUGGUAUCAUGGUAGCCCCCUGCAUGACGGGAAGCUACUCUGGGCCAAAGCCCAUCCACAGUGAGUAGGCCAGGCCUGGCAGAUGGGAAACUGCUUGUGAUGGUCAAUGGAAUUUGCUGGAAGCUGACAUGGAGGCUGGUGAACAUGCUGGGAAGCCCAGCUGUGGCACACAUAGCGUUUACCAAGAAGCCCUUCUGUGGUCCUAAGAGGCUGCCCCUAGGGAGGAGCUGCAAUGGUGGGUGAACUUUCCAUAAAGCCAAUCUCCAUGGUGCCAAGGAAAGCUGGUAAUGGGGAGAUGCCAACUCCAAUGAACAUGACAUUACUUAGUAUCCCAUGCACUGCUGGGUACCAUGCACCAAGGAGCAAGCUGAGAAGAUCACUGGAAGCAGGAAGAAAAGCCCUUUCCUCCUCCAGUGUUCUUCCAGUGCUGUCUACUGACAAAAGUUCCAACUGGCCAGUAAGAAACAUUCCAGUAUUACAAGCAGGAAUGAAGGUAGCCUUGGAGCUGAGCAGCAAUAAUUUGAUGGCUGGCAUAGUCCACCCUUUUGUUUACACAACUUCUGCACACACUUGAACUUCUGUUUGACACUGAAACAACUGUCUUUCUACCUAAUGAGUUAUAGCUAUCCUUUGAACUAGUGAAAUGCUCAUCCUUUUCCUAAACAGAUGUAUAGUCUCAAGAGUUAUUGUAUCCAUUGCUGGGUAUAUUAACAUCUCCUUAAAUUUAGCCAUGGUACUACUAAAUAACACCUAAACAGAACAUUAUAAAGUUUAAUCUUCAACAACUUGUGUGUAAAAUGAUGAUGAGGGGCCUGGCAGCCUGGCACCUCUUCCAAGGUGGUUUCCCUUGGUUUCCCAGAGGAAGGCUUCCCAGGGAGCUCUCCUACACGGUGUAGCAUUUCUUUAUGGGCAGUCUUACAGAAGGCACCUUCCUGGGGAGUUCCACAGGUUCCCUAGCUGGCUUACCAGUUAGCUCAACGACAUUUCUGAAGAAGGCUUCCCUGUAAGUUUCAUUAGGUGCCCUGGCAGGGGUUUCCCGUUUUCCAGUUCCUGUUUCCCAGCCUCAGCUCAUUGACUAUGGUCCAGCUUGGAUCCAGGCAACCCAGAGAACUUCUCUGCCUUCCUGCAGGCUGUAAUCGCACCUUCUCCAACGAGGUCUGAAUCCCAGUGGCCCUUGCACUGGUAACUUCCAAAUAGUUAAAGACUUUUCUGACGCAAUCUGAGGUGAUAUGGACAAAUGUGGAUUUCCAAUAUUGCAUCGUGAAAUGUAUCAACAUUUGCAAGAUCUGCAUAACUCAGUGAACCAAUAUUUCCAGAUGAUCAAUCCAUGCUGCAAAAUUCCAUUUCAAGUGUAAGAUAGAUCAAUGGAUUUUAAUGUAACAUUAUAUGAAAAGGGUUCUCAUUCCAAGCUGUAACCUUUAAGAAAGCACCAUUUUUUGAGUUUUGAUGUAAUUUCCAUAAAUAUCCACAAUUAUCAGAAAAGAUUAUUAAGCUAUUCCUCCCCUUUCCAAAUACAUAUCUGUGUUAGGCUGUAUUUUUUUCAUAUGCUUCAACAAAACAGCCUAUCACAACAGGGUGUGUUCAGAAGCAGGUACGCGAAUCCAGCUGGUUUCUAUUAAGGCUGCCAAUAAAGAGAUUUGUGAAUG